AAAUGCUCUGUUACAGAGUACUGGUUUGAGCUAACAGUGUGGCCACUAAUAUCAGUGUAUAUUGUUGGGACUGCCUUGAGGAAGUACUGGUGAAUGCCAUUUNNNNNNNNNNNNGUGCUCCCAAUGUACCCCAUCCAGGGGAUUCACCACACCAGGAAAGUAGUCACCAAAAGCUAGUCUAUUGAUCCUGUGACUUAUAUUAUAACUAUACGAUUUAACAGACAGCAAAUCUUUCACAUGGACAUUUGAGUGAUGAAGGCUUUUCCCAGGUAC
rnacentral:misc_RNA from 1 species